rnacentral:rRNA from 1 species
UAAGGAAUAUUGGUCAAUGGACGCAAGUCUGAACCAGCCAUGCCGCGUGAAGGAUGAAGGUCCUCUGGAUUGUAAACUUCUUUUAUCUGGGACGAAAACGGGAUUUUUAUCUCAAUUGACGGUACCAGAGGAAUAAGCACCGGCUAACUCCGUGCCAGCAGCCGCGGUAAUACGGAGGGUGCGAGCGUUAUCCGGAUUUACUGGGUUUAAAGGGUGCGUAGGUGGGCUUAUAAGUCAGUGGUGAAAUCUCCGAGCUUAACUUGGAAACUGCCGGUGAUACUAUAGGUCUUGAAUUAUCUGGAGGUAAGCGGAAUAUGUCAUGUAGCGGUGAAAUGCUUAGAUAUGACAUAGAACACCAAUUGCGAAGGCAGCUUACUACAUAUAAAUUGACGCUGAGGCACGAAAGCGUGGGGA